UACGUAGGGCGCAAGCGUUUGUCCGGAAUUAUUGGGCGUAAAGAGCUCGUAGGCGGUCUGUUACGUCCGCUGUGAAAACCCAGGGCUUAACCCUGGGCUUGCAGUGGAUACGGGUAGACUAGAGGCAGGUAGGGGAGAAUGGAAUUCCCGGUGUAGCGGUGAAAUGCGCAGAUAUCGGGAGGAACACCAGUGGCGAAGGCGGCGCUCUGGGCCGGAACUGACGCUGAGGAGCGAAAGCGUGGGUAGCAAACAGG
rnacentral:rRNA from 1 species